UGCCAGACUCCUACGGAGGCAGCAGUGGGGGAUAUUGCACAAUGGGGGGAACCCUGAUGCAGCGACGCCGCGUGGGUGAAGGAGCGUUUCGGCGCGUAAAGCCCUAUCGGCAGGGAAGAAGGAGGACGGUACCUGACUAAGAAGCCCCGGCUAACUACGUGCCAGCAGCCGCGGUAAUACGUAGGGGGCAAGCGUUAUCCGGAUUUACUGGGUGUAAAGGGGGCGCAGACGGCAGCGCAAGCCAGGAGUGAAAGCCCGGGGCCCAACCCCGGGACUGCUCUUGGAACUGCGCGGCUGGAGUGCAGGAGGGGCAGGCGGAAUUCCUGGUGUAGCGGUGAAAUGCGUAGAUAUCAGGAGGAACACCGGUGGCGAAGGCGGCCUGCUGGACUGCGACUGACGUUGAGGCCCGAAAGCGUGGGGAGCAAACAGGAUUAGAUACCCCCGUACA
rnacentral:rRNA from 1 species